rnacentral:rRNA from 1 species
CAGUAGCCACGGUAAUACGAAGGGGGCUAGCGUUGCUCGGAAUGACUGGGCGUAAAGGGCGCGUAGGCGGAUCUUUAAGUCAGGGGUGAAAUCCCGAGGCUCAACCUCGGAACUGCCUUUGAUACUGGAGAUCUUGAGUCCGGGAGAGGUGAGUGGAACUGCGAGUGUAGAGGUGAAAUUCGUAGAUAUUCGCAAGAACACCAGUGGCGAAGGCGGCUUACUGGCCCGGUACUGACGCUGAGGAGCGAAAGCGUGGGGAGCGAACAGGAUUAGAUACCCCCGUAGUCCCUGUCUCUUAUAC